rnacentral:lncRNA from 1 species
AAAUUUCAAAUAAAUUACUCUCGAGCCUUGAGUUUGCUUUCUGGUUCACAGCUACCCCCUGAGAUAAAUUUAUAACUCUAAAAUGAAGAUACAAUUUGUAGAUAAUCACUUAUCAUUUUUUACCUUAUAAUUUAAACUUAUUAAAGUCAAGUUUUGGCUUUAAAAUACAAGAUAUAAUAUAUCUAACCUUUUCUUAAAUUUUAUCUCGAAACUUAUCAACUUUAUUAUUUUAAACAAAGAAAUAUACAUAUUUUUCAAGUUUAUAAUUUAUAAAAUAUUUAAAUUAGGAUUAAACCGUUUUCCAUCCAAGAUUCUAAUAUUAAAGCUUAGGAACACUCCAUUGGUUCCAUUUUAACUAAUUAACUUUAAGCCAUUUGUAACUUAGAUUUUAUUUCUCUACACUAGUCCUUCAAGUCUUAAAAUCUUUAAAAUGAUGGUGAGGACAAGAUUAGUUGAUUUGAAGCGAUGUUAUGUAUAUAACUAUAACCAGUUACUUUAGGGUUUCCAAAAAUGUCAUAGAAAGGUUUGCUAGCUACCGUUUUAGUCAAUAUCUAAGUUUCGGCAAUAUACUUCCUAAAUUCUGUUAAUAUUUCAUCUUUUACUUAGCUAAAUCAUUAAAUACUUGAUAUUCAUUCUGUGCCUGCCUAAACUAGAUCAAACAACAUGUACCCUCAACACAUAAUUCCAACAAAAACAACAAUAAAUUCAGUCCUCAGCUAAAUGCAAAUUCCUAGUAGCUAGGCAGUCAAUUACAAGAUUGUUUUCCCCCCAUCUUCUUUACUUUCCUCCUCCUAACUCGACAUGCUGGGAGUAAUUAUCCAACUACAGAGCAUCGUAAGCAAGAAUAUAUGUUGACAGCCAAAAAUGAAAGAACAAAGCUGAACCAAGUCUUAAACUCCCUCUCGGCUAGAGUGAAAAGAAACUCUUGCAGCAGAUUGAGCUCAUUCUUCCUUCAAUGUUCACUUUAGUUUCAAUUCAUUUCUAUCUUACUUGUUGAAGUUAAGAGACUUAUGACAUGCUACAGUUCUAUACGUUUGUCUAGAGAUUAAAAUUUGCGAAGGAUAACCAGAGUUUCCUCUUUUCUCUUUCGGUUGCGGUCACUAAAUUUCCAGCAAAACAAUAGUUCAUCAUUUGACAUUUUCUCACCUUUUCUUUCUCAGGUUUUGGUCUCAAUCACUCAUGCAGAGGAUACUUAAUUUGUUGCAGGUUAUCCUAAGCUAGAUAGGGUAGUUCUUGACCAAAAUUUCUGAGGAAAACUGAAUAAAAUUACAAGUCUGCACAAGCCUGCUACAUCUAGUGCAUAGCAGACUGCACCAGGUUACUUUCAUGCCCACAGUUCCAAUUCUUACAACUCCUACGGUUAAUCCUUCUUUUAUUACUUAAAGUGGACAUAAUCAUGCUUUCCUAGCUGUAGUUUCCAUUUUCUAAUAACUAGCCACAUAAUUAGCACUUAUCUCUGGGUUAGAAGUCAGAACUUUCUCUUAGCGGACAGUUGAUUCUAAACAAAAUUUCUCCCGCAACAGCACUUAGUUUUUCUUGGCUAGAUUCCAGCACCCACAACAUGCAAAUUCAAAUAUACCAGAUGAUUAAGAGGUUAUAUACAAAUUUCCAUCAUUCAUGGAUUAAAAUCCAAGCAACAGUUUUCAGUUUCUUCCAAAUCUGUCCAACAGCUUGAUUUCCUUCAAACAAGAUUUCACCUUGUCUAAGAGUCCAUUUCUUUACUAAGUUCUCGUGCAACUAAUGUGAUUUUUCAGUUACACCGAAUAAAUAGAAAAUAGGUGCAGGUUCUUACCCUUUUCUCCUAAGAAUUCGAUGUUGCAGGCUGCUAAAAUUUCUGAUUCUGGUUCCUCACUCUUAGCUCUAGUUUCCUUUACCUUCUGACAGUAUUCUCUCGUCUUUGUUUGGCUGGUGAUACAGCUUGCUAAUCCUUUUUUCCUCACACUCAGUUUCUCACCCUCGAUCCUGUUUUUGUAAGAUGCAAGAAAGAAAGAAAGAAAAGAAGUCUGUCUACUUCACUCCUUUGAUCACCACCCAAAUAAUGAGCCUACUGUCUAGUUACUUCCUCUUGGUUGUUUUGUAGAGUUUUAAUGUAAGAAAGACAACAAUGCUACCUAAAUCCUCUUGCUUUCGGUU